UUAAAUAGAGCUUCAUUUUGAGGCAUUCAUUCAUUCAUCAGAAAGAAAAACAAAACUAAGAAGUAGAAAGAAAGAAAGAUUGUCGACUUCAUUAUGGGCAAGAGUAUUAAGAUUUUCUUCCUAUUCAUUGUUCUGCUAUUUGUCUCCACUGCCCUCACAAGUGGGUCGACGCUUUUAUGUAAGAAAGGUGAAGUUAAGACACAAAUGCUAUACAUCCGAUGUGGUCUUUCAUGUAAGCAGAUAUGUGCAUCCAAUAAGCAAUGCCGAAAUACUGGUUGCGAAAAAGUUUCAUUUUCUCCUGAUGAGCCUGCAUCUGAUCAAUGUGUCAUAUGCCAGACUACAAAAAAGCAAGGCUUAAACGCCAUAGUCGUUUAACUGCUAGUUAGUUGCUUCCUUUCGGUCGUGUUUUGCUUGUAAUUUUGAAGAUUCCUGUGUUACAUUAAUAAAGUAUCUUGUUUCGGUUUCAUUAA